CUGGAGGUAUCAGAAGUGCGAAUGCUGACAUAAGUAACGAUAAAGCGGGUGAAAAGCCCGCUCGCCGGAAGACCAAGGGUUCCUGUCCAACGUUAAUCGGGGCAGGGUGAGUCGACCCCUAAGGCGAGGCCGAAAGGCGUAGUCGAUGGGAAACGGGUUAAUAUUCCCGUACUUGGUGUUACUGCGAAGGGGGGACGGAGAAGGCUAUGUUGGCCGGGCGACGGUUGUCCCGGUUUAAGCGUGUAGGUGUGUGUUCCAGGUAAAUCCGGUUCACUUUAACACUGAGGCGUGAUGACGAGGCACUACGGUGCUGAAGCAACAAAUGCCCUGCUUCCAG
rnacentral:rRNA from 1 species